UUGAGCCUUGCCAUCGUUCCUCUACAAAGGAUUUUGGAGAAGUGCUUGGGAGUUACACGCUUUUUCACUACGGUUUUAUUCUAAUCAGAAUGAAAUCAUAAAAUACAGCUCCGACUUGAUGCUUCGCACUGAAGGGGCAGUGAAUUCAUGAGUGAAAAGGCUAAUUGCG
rnacentral:ncRNA from 1 species